UACGUAGGGGGCUAGCGUUGUCCGGAUUUAUUGGGCGUAAAGAGCGUGUAGGCGGCCAGGUAGGUCCGGUGUGAAAACUCGAGGCUUAACCUCGAGAUGUCAUCGGAAACCAUCUGGCUAGAGUCCGGAAGAGGAAAGUGGAAUUCCUGGUGUAGCGGUGAAAUGCACAGAUAUCAGGAGAACACCAAUGGCGAAAGCAGCUUUCUGGGACGGUACUGACGCUGAGACGCGAAAGCGUGGGGAGCGAACAGG
rnacentral:rRNA from 1 species